CCUACGGGGGGCAGCAGUGAGGAAUAUUGGUCAAUGGGCGCGAGCCUGAACCAGCCAAGUAGCGUGAAGGAUGACUGCCCUACGGGUUGUAAACUUCUUUUAUAAAGGAAUAAAGUGAGGCACGUGUGCCUUUUUGUAUGUACUUUAUGAAUAAGGAUCGGCUAAUUCCGUGCCAGCAGCCGCGGUAAUACGGAGGAUCCGAGCGUUAUCCGGAUUUAUUGGGUUUAAAGGGAGCGUAGAUGGGUUGUUAAGUCAGUGGUGAAAGUUUGGGGCUCAACCGUAAAAUUGCAAUUGAUACUGGCAGCCUUGAGUACAGGUGAGGUAGGCGGAAUUCGUGGUGUAGCGGUGAAAUGCUUAGAUAUCACGAAGAACUCCGAUUGCGAAGGCAGCUUACUAAACUGCCACUGACGUUGAUGCUCGAAAGUGUGGGUAUCAAACAGGAUUAGAUACCCUAGUAGUC
rnacentral:rRNA from 1 species